UACAAAGAUUAGGUAGAGCUGUGA
rnacentral:piRNA from 1 species